GCUUACGGCCACACCACCCUGAGCGCGGCCCGAUCUCGUCUGAUCUCGGAAGCUAAGCAGGGUCGGGCCUGGUUAGUACUUGGAUGGGAGACCGCCUGGGAAUACCAGGUGCCGUAAGCU
ensembl:rRNA 5S_rRNA 5S ribosomal RNA